UAGCUUAGCUCUCAAUCUUCAGUUUGAGAGAGAAACUGGAUCCACAGCUGCAUGGCUAGGGGGUGAACACAGGUGUUCCUAACAGCUUUAGAAGGUCUUUUUCCGUGACAGAGCUCUGUGCUCUCCCCAGCUCUUCCUGGUUCCCUCUACCUGUUCUCUGGCAAUGACCUUCUGCUGCUGCACUUCUAUCUGAGCCAGAUGGGUGGAGGACAGAGUGAAGCAAGCGAGGACUGCUCUAGCCUCUGCGGAAACACAGGAGACUACCGAGGCUCUCAGUUCAGACCAGGGUCUAAGUUGCCCAGGCUGGCGCUGAUCUUGCAAUCCUCCUCCUUUCUUCUGCCUCAUGAAGGAGCGGCUGGAAUUAUAGGCAUGACCACCACACCCUGCUUCCUGUUUUAAGAGGAAAAACCCUAAAUACCAACUUACCGUUAUUGCUACAAGGCAUUUAACAGAAGAGACAAGCGAGAAAGGUGCAACCAACAUUGUGUUGGGAUUUCCUUUUUUGUUUUUAGCAAAACAAGAUCUGCUCCUUAUAACUUUGUGCAAUUCACUUCUCUCCCAACUACUCAUUCUGAAUUAGUUUUGGAACACUUUUUUUUGAGACAAGAUCUCAAUAAAUAGUUCAGGCUGGCCUUGAACUCACGGAGAUCCUUUUGCUUAAGCCUCCCUAGUGCUGGGAUUUCAAGGGUAUAUGACCAUACCUGGCCCCAGAACACUUUCAAGACUGGUACCAUCACACAGCCGGUGGUAUCUUUUUCUAAGAGUAAAAGAAGAUACCAACUCUAAACUGCUGCCAACACUGACUCUAAUCAGUGACUUGGAGCUAUGACUAAAGGAUUUUAUGUUUUUGUGAUAAGAAGUUGUCGGGCUAAGUAAUCCCUGAAAGGGAGAAGUCGAAACUUGACAAUACAGAAUGUAUGUAGCCUAACAGAAAAAUUGAUGGGGUCUGCUCCAAGUAGAAUGCAACCUUUGACCAAAUGUAUGACAAAAACAAUCUGCUAAAACUAAAUCCAUGAAAGUGAGAUUACAGCAACUACGUAAGUUUCUGGUUUUAAAAAACAAUCAGGGUACAGGUAUUACACUGAGGUGUUACCCAGCCUGAGUCUAAGAACACAGAACAGCCAAGAUUCAACCCAGGAAGUCUGACUUGGACCCUCCAUCCCAAACACUCUGCACGACAACCUACAGGGACUCAAGGAGCCCAAACACCAGAGCCUCCCUUCCAGGGUGUCUCUACGAAGCAGUGUUAGAAUAUAGAAGCUAUAAAAGAAAAAAGGUCAUCCUUGCCAGCCCCACCCUAAUUAAUGGGGGGGGGGGAUGAUCCUAUAUUACCUGCCACAAAUUUCCUGAUUCAAGGAAACAAUCCUGUCAUCUGCAUACAGCUCUGAGAAAGCUGUAUAAUAAAAAAGUACUGUGAAAAAUAUCAAAAACAUCUACUUGUAGUAUUACUGCAGUCACUUUAGAGUAAAUGAAUAUACACUGGUCAAGAAAUGACUAACUCAGGAGAGAUUAAUAACUUCAACAAAACAUUC
rnacentral:lncRNA from 1 species